UACAGAGGUCUCAAGCGUUGUUCGGAUUCAUUGGGCGUAAAGGGUGCGUAGGCGGCGCGGUAAGUCGGGUGUGAAAUCUCGGGGCUUAACUCCGAAACUGCAUUCGAUACUGCCGUGCUUGAGGACUGGAGAGGAGACUGGAAUUUACGGUGUAGCGGUGAAAUGCGUAGAUAUCGUAAGGAACGCCGGUGGCGAAAGCGGCGGACUGGAUCUCUUCUGACGCUGAGGCGCGAAAGCUAGGGGAGCAAACGGG
rnacentral:rRNA from 1 species